rnacentral:rRNA from 1 species
AUGAAGUUGGAAUCACUAGUAAUCGCGGAUCAGCAUGCCGCGGUGAAUGCGUUCUCGGGCCUUGUACACACCGCCUGUCACACCAUGAGAGUCGGGAACACCCGAAGUCCGUAGCCUAACCGCAAGGGGGGCGCGGCCGAAGGUGGGCUCGAUAAUUGGGGUGAAGUCGUAACAAGGUACC